AGUGAACGCUGGCGGUAGGCCUAACACAUGCAAGUCGAACGGCAGCACAGUAAGAGCUUGCUCUUACGGGUGGCGAGUGGCGGACGGGUGAGGAAUACAUCGGAAUCUACUUUUUCGUGGGGGAUAACGUAGGGAAACUUACGCUAAUACCGCAUACGACCUACGGGUGAAAGCAGGGGAUCUUCGGACCUUGCGCGAUUGAAUGAGCCGAUGUCGGAUUAGCUAGUUGGCGGGGUAAAGGCCCACCAAGGCGACGAUCCGUAGCUGGUCUGAGAGGAUGUUCAGCCACACUGGAACUGAGACACGGUCCAGACUCCUACGGGAGGCAGCAGUGGGGAAUAUUGGACAAUGGGCGCAAGCCUGAUCCAGCCAUACCGCGUGGGUGAAGAAGGCCUUCGGGUUGUAAAGCCCUUUUGUUGGGAAAGAAAAGCAGCAGGUUAAUACCCCGCUGUUCUGACGGUACCCAAAGAAUAAGCACCGGCUAACUUCGAG
rnacentral:rRNA from 1 species